rnacentral:lncRNA from 1 species
GGCCAGCCAUGGAUCUCUUUGACAAGCUUUUGCAGUACAGAGUUCUCUUCAUUGCAGCAAUAGCUAUAUCAUUAAUCUCAGCAUUUCCCUUUACAAGCAUUCUCUCUUACUUUUUGCCACUUUUCCUCUCCACAACUGUGUUAUUGGUGGCAAUAAUUGUCAUUGGCCAAAUAUCACCAUUCCCACCUGAAUUUUGGUGUGAUGAAGAAGGCGAAGGAUUCUUGGAAUACGUUGCAGGACGCCCUGAAGUGCUGGAAGAUUAUGAAUGACCAACAUAAUAUUAUUGGGUUUGGAGAUUUUAUAUUUCAAGCUGGCUUGAUUUAAAGUAAUUUGGAUUGAUCCAUCUCCAUGUAUAUAUUCUAUAGUUCAAAUCUCAUCGUAUGAUAUGUGCAAUAAUAUGUACAUGUUUAUUUGUUUAGGCAUUUAUGGAUUGUAACUGGUG